CUUUUGAGUAUAAUUUAAGGUCUGGCCUGCCCAAUGAAUUUUUAAUGGCCGCGGUAUUUUGACCGUGCAAAGGUAGCAUAAUCAUUAGUUUUUUAAUUGAAAGCUGGAAUGAAAGGUUAGAUGAAAAAAUAACUGUCUCUUUUUAAAUUAAUUAGAAUUUUAUUUUUAAGUGAAAAAGCUUAAAUAUAAUUAGAAGACGAGAAGACCCUAUAGAGUUUUAUUAGUUAUUAAUAGUAAAUUUUUAGCAUUAAUAUUAAUAUUAUUAAUAAUUAAUUUGAUUGGGGUGAUCAAAAAAUUUAAUUAACUUUUUUAUUUUUUUUCCAUUAAUUAAUGRRUAAUUGAUCCUUUUUAAGAUUAAAAGAUUAAAUUACCUUAGGGAUAACAGCGUAAUUUUUUUUGAGAGUUCAGAUCGAGAAAAAAGAUUGSSACCUCGAUGUUGGAUUAAAAUUUAAUUUUGGUGUAGAGGCUAAA
rnacentral:rRNA from 1 species